AAUUAGCGCGAGGGUGGGGGCUUUCCACGAGGCUCACCUGAGCACAAGCAGUUUUGCAGGCAUGAGAAAUCACAGUGAGAGCAACGCUUUUUCACCAUAUGUUAAUGUGAAGAGUGAACAGUAAAUGGUUAAUCUUACUGCGAUCUGGUUCUUAUUAACUGUGGUUUAUCCGGACGUUAAAUUCGGCGUUUCGUUACACCCGAAGGAGAACGUGACAGUGAAAAAGCGGCAUUAUCAGGUGUUUCAAGUGCUGCAAUGUCAGCUCAAUCCAGCAUCAAGUCGACGCCGCCCAGCGACAGGGGCAGUAAACCGACAUCAAGUAAGCCCACCCAGGCGUUAUCAGGUGUUCCAAGUGCUGCAAUGUCAGCUCGAUCCGGGAUCAAGUCGAUGGCGCCCAGCGACAAGGGCAGUAGAACGACAUCAAGUAAGUCCGCACAGGCAAGAGCCAAGGCAGAAGCCGCCAAGGUGCGACUGCAUUACGCCAAACAAGAGGCAGUUUUGAAAAUGAAACUGGCCACCAAAGAAGCCGAAAGGGCCGCCAGACAAAGAGAAGAGGCUGCCAGAGAAGCCGAAAUCCAGAAAGAAAGGGCCGCCAGAGAAGCCGAAGAGGCCGAAACCCAGUUGGAAAUGACAAAAAUAUCGACAGAGUUGCAUGUGCUGCAGCUAGAAGGAGAAGGAGAAGCUGCCAGGGUGGAAGCAAAGUACAUAGAACAAGCUGAAGGGUCGCGUGAUCUGACCGAAGUAAGAUCUACUUUAGAAAGGACCAGACUGGAACGCACAAGCGACUAUGUACAACAUCAAAUAGACAGGCAGGCUCGUCUCCCCUCUCCAUACGUAUUCGAUAACUUCCCCAGCUACGAGGAACCUCAGAGAGUCACGAUUGCAUCACAUCCAUACGAGGAAGGAAAUUUACCCUCACGGCUCCGUGAUGAAGUCAAGAAUGAAAGAACCGACAACGCUCCUUCACCCCCACAACAGGACGGCGGGGAGGGAGAGGUUCACUCCAGGACAACAAUUGUCAGCUCGAACUGUACAGAAGUUUGCGGUCAAACUCAGUCAAGCCGUUCUUGUUCCGAGAUCUGCCUCACUGAGGUGUACCCUAAAGAAGCACAACAAGACAUUACCAAGCGUAAAGUAACUGACGAGACGCUAGGUCAGUCAGUUUUCGUUCAAACCGAGCACGGAAACAAACUUGCACAAUCAGCUCAAGAUACCAUUUCUUUAAAACCCAAAGACACCAAGGUCUUCAGAGAUGAAGCAAAUAAUGGGGUUGCCCCAUUGCCAAUCAGAGAACCACGCCAGCGCUCACCAGAUAACAAAGAGCAGGCAGUCAAACGGUUCACGUCCUUACGGAAAACCUGGAAAAGGAAACCUGAGAUGCAGCAACGCACCCGAUUGGCCCACGAGGUACUGUGCACCCUAAUGGCAGAGGUCACAGCCAUUAUAAACGCACAAUCAUUCCUACCUGUGUCUUCUGACCCAGAAAACCCCUUUAUACUUUCGCCAUCAACGCUCCUUACGCAGAAGGCAGGAGCACCUCCUCCACCAGGAGACUUCUCAGACAAGAAUUUGUACACAAAACAAUGGAGACAAGUCCAGGCUCUGGCAAAUCAGUUCUGGCCUCGCUGGAGACAAAAAUAUCUACCCUCGUUGCAACAGAGACAAAAGUGGACAGGACCCCACAGGAAUCUGGCCAACGGCCAGAAUCACUGCUACAUUCCCUAGCGGGGAUGGACAUGUCAGGAAGAUCGAAUUGAAGACUACCGACCAAGGCGAUGUGAAAAUUUACCAAGGGCCAGUUACAGAAGUUAUUCUACUUCUACCCAAUGACUGAUUAAGAGACUAAGUUUUGUACUCUGCUCAUUGUGACCUUACGAAGGUCAAGCGGGGAGUGUGCUGUCUUUACGACAGUUAUUUAGUUUAUAAUAUUUUCGCUUAGUAAUUCAUUCAAUAGUAUUUUCUAGUUAGAAUUAGAAGUGUUUAAAGUGUAUUCAUUGCAUGUAAAAUAUAUCGGCAUGCGAUGACGUCACAUCCGGUUUCGCCGCGUCUUGUGGGAAAACACCGGUUUGAAAUUAGCGCGAGGGUGGGGGCUUUCCACGAGGCUCACCUGAGCACAAGCAGUUUUGCAGGCAUGAGAAAUCACAGUGAGAGCAACGCUUUUUCACCAUAUGUUAAUGUGAAGAGUGAACAGUAAAUGGUUAAUCUUACUGCGAUCUGGUUCUUAUUAACUGUGGUUUAUCCGGACGUUAAAUUCGGCGUUUCGUUACACCCGAAGGAGAACGUGACAGG